AUACGAAGGGGGCUAGCGUUGUUCGGAAUUACUGGGCGUAAAGCGCGUGUAGGCGGAUCGUUAAGUCAGGGGUGAAAGCCCGGGCCUCAACCCCGGAACUGCCCUUGAUACUGGCGAUCUAGAGUCCGGAAGAGGUGGGCGAAAUUCCCGGUGUAGAGGUGAAAUUCGUAGAUAUCGGGAGGAACACCAGUGGCGAAGGCGGCUCACUGGUCCGGUACUGACGCUGAGACGCGAAAGCGUGGGGAGCAAACAGGAUUAGAAACCCUUGUAGUCC
rnacentral:rRNA from 1 species